GAUGAAGAACGCAGCGAAAUGCGAUAAGUAAUGCGAAUUGCAGAAUCCGUGAGUCAUCGAAUCUUUGAACGCACAUUGCGCCCCCUGGUAUUCCGGGGGGCAUGCCUGUUCGAGCGUCAUUUCACCACUCAAGCCUCGCUUGGUAUUGGGCAACGCGGUCCGCCGCGUGCCUCAAAUCGACCGGCUGGGUCUUCUGUCCCCUAAGCGUUGUGGAAACUAUUCGCUAAAGGGUGUUCGGGAGGCUACGCCGUAAAACAACCCCAUUUCUAAGGUUGACCUCGGAUCAGGUAGGGAUACCCGCUGAACUUAAGCAUAUCAAUAAGCGGAGGA
rnacentral:misc_RNA from 1 species